AGACCCGAAACCCGGUGAUCUAGCCAUGGGCAGGUUGAAGGUUGGGUAACACUAACUGGAGGACCGAACCGACUAAUGUUGAAAAAUUAGCGGAUGACCUGUGGCUGGGGGUGAAAGGCCAAUCAAACCGGGAGAUAGCUGGUUCUCCCCGAAAGCUAUUUAGGUAGCGCCUCGUGAAUUCAUCUCCGGGGGUAGAGCACUGUUUCGGCUAGGGGGCCAUCCCGGCUUACCAACCCGAUGCAAACUGCGAAUACCGGAGAAUGUUAUCACGGGAGACACACGGCGGGUGCUAACGUCCGUCGUGAAGAGGGAAACAACCCAGACCGCCAGCUAAGGUCCCAAAGUCAUGGUUAAGUGGGAAACGAUGUGGGAAGGCCCAGACAGCCAGGAUGUUGGCUUAGAAGCAGCCAUCAUUUAAAGAAAGCGUAAUAGCUCACUGGUCGAGUCGGCCUGCGCGGAAGAUGUAACGGGGCUAAACCAUGCACCGAAGCUGCGGCAGCGACGCUUAUGCGUUGUUGGGUAGGGGAGCGUUCUGUAAGCCUGUGAAGGUGG
rnacentral:rRNA from 2 species